AGAGUGAGAGAGAGAGAAACAAUGUGACAGUUGAAAACAGCUGAUUAAUUAUUGCGGCGAAAUUGCCGCAUGCAGCAGUGCCAACAAAUUUUUUUAAAUUAUAGAUUAAAAAAACAAAUGAUACCUAUGAGUUGACGGAAUGUAAAAGACUUCAUAUUAAAAAACAUUCCAUUUAAUGGUGGAUAGAGGGUAAACAAUGUGAAAAUGUCAUCACAUGUUUAUAUGUCACACUUGUCUUCCCCCAAAUUUCCACUCCUUUCCUAACACUGUGAACGUUGAUGUCACAACUCAUACAGACGUAGAAAUUAAAUUCUUACAAACUGUUCAAUGAAUAUUGUUCUUGAAGAUACAUGCAUGCAUGCAUACAGACAAACAAAAAAAUAUGAUAGACGCGACAAGGAAAAGUAUUUCAUUGAAUUCACUUGGCGUUUAUACUCUGCGCUUGUUGUUCAGUUCGUUCGUUUAUUGGCUCAUGUGUGCUGCAGCUAGCUACAUACAUACAUACAUGCAAGCGCAAAAGGCUAGACCGACAAAAACAAUUGAAAAAAUACAAAAAAAAAAAACAGACCUACACGUCAUUAAUUAGACACGACGCCAAGCAGAAGUAGCAGCAAAAAAUAUGAAAAAAAAAUUCUUGAAAAAAUAUUCAUAUACAGUUGUCGGGGAAGACCAAAAUAGGGCACAUCGAUACAAUAUGGUUUAGCCAUGGAAUAUGACAAACCUCAUCCAAUGAUAAAAACAACAUUCUCGUAUCCAAAAUAAAGGGUGAAGUUAAAACAAGUUAAAAAGCAGUAUUUUGAUGAUGUUCCGACAUUUUUAAUCGGAAUUGUUUCAAAUCGGUGUUUAAAGUUCGUAAUGGAUACUACAGCCCAUGACAGAAAAUUGUAUGUGCAGGUCCAAGUCUUCGUAUAGCCCCAAUAUAACGAUACCUUCCCGUAUUCGGUAUUUUGAUGAUUUUAGCGACAUUAUUAACCGGAAUUGUUUCAAAUUUGGUAUUUGAAGUUCGUAAUGGAUACUACAACCUAUGACAGAAAAUUGUCUGUGCAGGUCUACGUCUUCGUAUAGCCCCCAUAUAACAAUACCCCCGAUAAUCGGUAUUUUGAUGAUUUCGGCGACAGUAUUCAACGGAAUUGUUUCAAAUUUUGGUAUUGAAAAUGGGCCAUGUAAGUCCACGUCUUCGUAUAGCCCCCACAUAACGGUACCUCUCGAGGUUCAGUAUUUUGAUGAUUUUAGCGAUAUUAUUCACCGGAAUUGUUUCAAAUUUGGUGUUUGAAGUUCGUAAUGAAUACUACAGCCUAAGACAGAAACUGUCUGUGCAGGCCCACGUCUUCGUAUAGCCCCAAUAUAACGAUACCUUCCCGUAUUCGGUAUUUUGAUGAUUUUAGCGACAUUAUUAACCGGAAUUGUUUCAAAUUUGGUGUUUAAAGUUCGUAAUGGAUACUACAGCCUAUGAAAGAAAAUUGUCUGUGCACGUCAACGCCUUCGUAUAGCCGCAAUAUAACGAUACUGAUUUUUUCAAGUUUCGUAUUUGAAAAUUGUAAUGGCUUACGACAAAAGUUGCCUAUGCAGGCCCACGUCGUCGUAUAGACCCUAAUGGAAUGGCUACAUUCGGUAUUUUUAUGAUUUUAACAGAAUUUUUAAAGGAUUUUAUUUUUUUUGGAAAUUUUCAAAUUCUUUCCAAAUGGCCCAGUCGAACUUACAG